rnacentral:rRNA from 1 species
AGAGUUUGAUCCUGGCUCAGAUUGAACGCUGGCGGCAUGCUUUACACAUGCAAAGUCGAACGGCAGCAUGGGUGCUUGCACCUGAUGGCGAGUGGCGAACGGGUGAGUAAUAUAUCGGAACAUGUCCGGAAGUGGGGGAUAACGUAGCGAAAGUUACGCUAAUACCGCAUAUGCCCUGAGGGGGAAAGGAGGGGAUCGUAAGACCUUUCGCUUUCGGAGUGGCCGAUAUCAGAUUAGCUAGUUGGUGAGGUAAAGGCUCACCAAGGCGACGAUCUGUAGCGGGUCUGAGAGGAUGAUCCGCCACACUGAACUGAGACAC